GCACCGGCCAGUGGCGACGCGGAUAACGCGCCUGACUACGGAUCAGGAGAUGCCAGGUUCGAAUCUUAGAUGACUCGGUGCU